rfam:Myotis lucifugus cont2.47016, whole genome shotgun sequence.
GAGACACCCUUAUGGGGCAGGACUUGCUUCAGUGGGGCUUUGGUCCUCACUGAGUCUGCCCCUUGAAUGCGUCACU